rnacentral:rRNA from 1 species
AUACGGAGGAUCCAAGCGUUGUCCGGAUUUAUUGGGUUUAAAGGGUGCGUAGGCGGAAUAUUAAGUCAGUGGUGAAAGCUUGCAGCUUAACUGUAAAAUUGCCAUUGAAACUGAUAUUCUUGAGUACGGUUGAGGUGGAUGGAAUGUAUCAUGUAGCGGUGAAAUGCAUAGAUAUGAUACAGAACACCUAUUGCGAAGGCAGUUCACUAAGCCGUUACUGACGCUGAGGCACGAAAGCGUGGGGAGCGAACAGGAUUAGAUACCCCAGUAGUCC